UACGUAGGGGGCAAGCGUUGUCCGGAUUUAUUGGGCGUAAAGAGCGUGUAGGCGGCCAUGCAGGUCAGCUGUGAAAACUCGAGGCUCAACCUCGAGACGUCGGUUGAAACCGUAUGGCUAGAGUCCGGAAGAGGAGAGUGGAAUUCCCGGUGUAGCGGUGAAAUGCGUAGAGAUGUGGAGGAACACCAGUGGCGAAGGCGACUCUUUGGCCUGUAACUGACGCUGAGGCGCGAAAGCGUGGGGAGCAAACAGG
rnacentral:rRNA from 1 species